rnacentral:rRNA from 1 species
CCUACGGGAGGCAGCAGUCGAGAAUCAUUCACAAUGGGGGAAACCCUGAUGGUGCGACGCCGCGUGGGGGAAUGAAGGUCUUCGGAUUGUAAACCCCUGUCAUGUGGGAGCAAAUUAAAAAGAUAGUACCACAAGAGGAAGAGACGGCUAACUCUGUGCCAGCAGCCGCGGUAAUACAGAGGUCUCAAGCGUUGUUCGGAAUCACUGGGCGUAAAGCGUGCGUAGGCUGUUUCGUAAGUCGUGUGUGAAAGGCGCGGGCUCAACCCGCGGACGGCACAUGAUACUGCGGGACUAGAGUGAUGGAGGGGGAACCGGAAUUCUCGGUGUAGCAGUGAAAUGCGUAGAUAUCGAGAGGAACACUCGUGGCGAAGGCGGGUUCCUGGACAUUAACUGACGCUGAGGCACGAAGGCCAGGGGAGCGAAAGGGAUUAGAUACCCCUGUAGUC